ACAAGAUUCGGAUCGUCGGUCGAUCGAGCAAUGUCACUCGCUCCAUGGAAGGUCUUUUCAUUAUCAU
rnacentral:pre_miRNA from 1 species